rnacentral:rRNA from 1 species
CAGCCGCCACGGUAAUACGUAGGUGGCAAGCGUUGUCCGGAAUUAUUGGGCGUAAAGGGCUCGCAGGCGGUUUCUUAGGUCUGAUGUGAAAGCCCCCGGCUCAACCGGGGAGGGUCAUUGGAAACUGGGAAGCUUGAGUGCAGAAGAGGAGAGUGGAAUUCCACGUGUAGCGGUGAAAUGCGUAGAGAUGUGGAGGAACACCAGUGGCGAAGGCGACUCUCUGGUCUGUAACUGACGCUGAGGAGCGAAAGCGUGGGGAGCGAACAGGAUUAGAUACCCCCGUAGUCCCUGUCUCUUAUAC